rnacentral:rRNA from 1 species
GAUGAACGCUGGCGGCGUGCCUAAUACAUGCAAGUCGAGCGAACAGACGAGGAGCUUGCUCCUCUGACGUUAGCGGCGGACGGGUGAGUAACACGUGUAUAACCUACCUAUAAGACUGGGAUAACUUCGGGAAACCGGAGCUAAUACCGGAUAAUCUAUUGAACCGCAUGGUUCAAUAGUGAAAUACGGUUUUGCUGUCACUUAUAGAUGGAUCCGCGCCGCAUUAGCUAGUUGGUAAGGUAACGGCUUACCAAGGCAACGAUGCGUAGCCGACCUGAGAGGGUGAUCGGCCACACUGGAGCUGAGACACGGUCCAGACUCCUACGGGAGGCAGCAGUAGGGAAUCUUCCGCAAUGGGCGAAAGCCUGACGGAGCAACGCCACGUGAGUGAUGAAGGUCUUCGGAUCGUAAAACUCUGUUAUUAGGGAAGAACAAAUGUGUAAGUAACUGUGCACGUCUUGACGGUACCUAAUCAGAAAGCCACGGCUAACUACGUG